GCCUCCCUCAACUCUCGCGAGGCGUGGCGAGGCGUGGCGUCCCAGGGCCCGCGGAAGAGUUGUGUCCUGCCGGUGCUGAGCUGUUCCCUGCUCUAAGAUGUUUUCAAGGAAAGGACGUUAAAAUCCUGCCUUGCCGUUUUGUAUGUGUGGCUAAUCCUGGAGUCCGAGAAGCGAAAAAGGAAAAAACCUGAAAAAGUCUCAGGUCUUUGCAAUUUGAUGGAUGUAGACAUCAGUUCCAUGCCACUUGGACCUCUCCAUGGGACAUUUUAUAACAUGGCAACUGGCUUCUCUCAGAUGGCAGGAUGGAGGAGGUAAGAAAGAGCACCACAAAGGAAGCCACUGUUUUUGUGAUGAAAUGAUCUUCUAUCACUUUUACUGUAUUUUGUUCAUCAGAAACAGGUCACUGGGUCUGGGCCACCCUCAAGAGUAAGGAUUUACAUAAGGGUCUGAAUACCAGAAGGUGGAUUUCUUUGGUGACCAUCUUAUGAGAUACCAACCACAGAGAUGAUUAGUAUUUUUUUUUUUUAGCAUAUGCAUGCUAUAUAGAAUGUAUUUAACUACAGAGUGUAUAGAAACUGUAUUUAUAUAGUUCUUCCAGUAAGAGAAAAAUGAAAGACUUUUAAAAUCUCCAGAGAUUUGGCAAUCUUUGAAUGCACUUUAUUUGCUCAGCUUAAAAUUUGUCUCAGAUGACACGUUUUCAUUAAAGUUUCUGUUGUCUGUCUUUAAAAGAUAGAAAGAUUGGCCGGGUGCGAUGGCCCAUGCCUGUAAUACCAACACUCUGGGAGGCUGAAAUGGGUGGAUCAUCUGAGGUCAGGAGUUCA